ensembl:lncRNA
UUUUUUUUUUACAAGUAAGUAAAACAUUUUAGAUUAUGUAGACAAUUCUGUCUCUCUUUUUUUUAAUGCAGGGUAAUGUUGGACUAUCAGGGAAACCUGGGCCUAAAGUAAAUUUGUUAUACUCACAUUUACACUCCUGUAUUUUAAUACCUGUGAAAUUAUAUAAGAAUACAACCAUGAUUGUGAGUAUCUAGCAAAGAGAGUGAAUAAAAGAUUAAAUGAAACAUGGAUCAUUUAGAUAAACACUUCCUUUGAUUGUGUCCUGGGUGGUGAUGGGUCCAAAGGAGAGAAAGGGGAGAUGGGUUUCUUGGGCAACCCUGGUUCGCCAGGACUAACAGGUAAAGAUGUAAGUCAAUUGAGGGCCCAGAGUGACUGAUACAAGAAGUAUGGGAGUGUGUGUGUGCUAUAUGCAUCAUUUCACUAAGGAUAUCAGAGAUAGAUGGGUUACUUUGCCAUUAAAUACCCAUUGUUUUCUUUUUAAUUAAUGCUUCAUUCAUAUUAAAUUAAAUUUUCUGCUUUAAUGGAUUUCAGGGUCUGCCAGGACUGAAAGGAGAGAUGGGAUUGAGGGAGAACCUGGAGAGAGAGGUGUCAAGAUAUUCUCUAUCUGCCUUUGUAUUUUAACCCUUCCAAGAUCCAGAGGGAAACAAAGGAGAGAAAGGCGAGCCGG